CAGUCGCCGCGGUAAUACGGAGGGUGCAAGCGUUAAUCGGAAUUACUGGGCGUAAAGCGUGCGUAGGCGGCUUCUUAAGUCGGAUGUGAAAUCCCUGAGCUUAACUUAGGAAUUGCAUUCGAUACUGGGAAGCUAGAGUAUGGGAGAGGAUGGUAGAAUUCCAGGUGUAGCGGUGAAAUGCGUAGAGAUCUGGAGUAAUACCGAUGGCGAAGGCAGCCAUCUGGCCUAAUACUGACGCUGAGGUACGAAAGCAUGGGGAGCAAACAGGAUUAGAGACCCCAGUAGUCCCUGUCUCUUAUAC
rnacentral:rRNA from 1 species